GUCGGGCCCUAGGUCACCCAGGUCUUAAAGGGUGCAGCUAUAAUGUUACAUGGCUUUUAAACCAUUUCAUCGUGAAAGGUCACUCUUUUAUUGGUCUCUUGGCAUCACUUUACAGCUGUGGUCAAGAAAGGGAUGAAGGGAAGCAUGGAAACAGGAGAUUGACCCCAGGAGUGGCCUUUUGUGCUCUCAGAGCAAUGCCAGCAAAAUACAGAAAGCUGACCGGCAUGGAAGAUGCCCCUCGGCCCUGCACUUGUACAGUGUUCCUGAGGCCCAUUGGGACUUUGUCUCCACGGCGAACCAUUGGAUCUCUCUUUCCUUCUCAUUCCAAUGAGUGAGCUCACUGGCCUCACUCUGGGGGUGUCAUCAAGUUGAUUAGCAUGUAGAUACCUUUCCCACCAUCCCCUCUAUAGUCUGUCCCUUAUGUCCCCACACUGCCAACAGAACUGUGCAGGCUUGUGGAGGAAAAAUAUCCCUGAACAGUUUUGCACAGGUGGUCAUGUGGAAACUGAGAAGGAGUUCCUGUUUUCUGAGCAUCUCUGAUACUUAGGAAUUACACUAAGCAUCUCUGAUACUUAGUGAGUUAUCUCAUUUAUAUGAUGUCAUUAUUAUUAUUGUUAUUUAAAAUUAAUGUAAGUCCAUGAUGAAAACCAAAGAAUAAAAAAGAUGUACAAUGAACUGUCAGUCAUUCCAGA
rnacentral:lncRNA from 1 species